rnacentral:rRNA from 1 species
CCAAUAGCGUAUAUUAAAGUUGUUGCAGUUAAAAAGCUCGUAGUUGAAUUUCGGGGUUCUACCGUUGGUCGGGCUAUUGUCUGUACUGGCGUGUAGAAUUUCUACCUUCUGGGGAACUAUCAUGUUAUUAAUUUAGCGUGGUAGGAAACCAGGACCUUUACCUUGAAAAAAUUAGAGUGUUCAAAGCAGGCUUAUGUCUGAAUACAUUAGCAUGGAAUAAUAAAAUAGGACGGUGGUCCUGUUUUGUUGGUUUCUGAAUCACCGUAAUGAUUAAUAGGGAUAGUUGGGGGCAUUAGUAUUCAAUUGUCAGAGGUGAAAUUCUUGGAUUUAUUGAAGACCAACUACUGCGAAAGCAUUUGCCAAGGAUGUUUUCAUUAAUCAAGAACGAAAGUUAGGGGAUCGAAGACGAUCAGAUACCGUCGUAGUCUUAACCAUAAACUAUGCCGACUAGGGAUCGGACGAUGUUAACUUUUCUUGACUCGUUCGGCGCCUUACG